UUGAAGUUCAGGUAACACUGAAUGGAGGACCGAACCGACUUACGUUGAAAAGUGAGCGGAUGAACUGAGGGUAGCGGAGAAAUUCCAAUCGAACCUGGAGAUAGCUGGUUCUCUCCGAAAUAGCUUUAGGGCUAGCCUCAAGUGAUGAUUAUUGGAGGUAGAGCACUGUUUGGACGAGGGGCCCCUCUCGGGUUACCGAAUUCAGACAAACUCCGAAUGCCAAUUAAUUUAACUUGGGAGUCAGAACAUGGGUGAUAAGGUCCGUGUUCGAAAGGGAAACAGCCCAGACCACCAGCUAAGGUCCCAAAAUAUAUGUUAAGUGGAAAAGGAUGUGGCGUUGCCCAGACAACUAGGAUGUUGGCUUAGAAGCAGCCAUCAUUUAAAGAGUGCGUAAUAGCUCACUAGUCGAGUGACACUGCGCCGAAAAUGUACCGGGGCUAAACAUAUUACCGAAGCUGUGGAUUGUCCUUUGGACAAUGGUAGGAGAGCGUUCUAAGGGCGUUGAAGCAUGAUCGUAAGGACAUGUGGAGCGCUUAGAAGUGAGAAUGCCGGUGUGAGUAGCGAAAGACGGGUGAGAAUCCCGUCCACCGAUUGACUAAGGUUUCCAGAGGAAGGCUCGUCCGCUCUGGGUUAGUCGGGUCCUAAGCUGAGGCCGACAGGCGUAGGCGAUGGAUAACAGGUUGAUAUUCCUGUACCACCUAUAAUCGUUUUAAUCGAUGGGGGGACGCAGUAGGAUAGGCGAAGCGUGCGAUUGGAUUGCACGUCUAAGCAGUAAGGCUGAGUAUUAGGCAAAUCCGGUACUCGUUAAGGCUGAGCUGUGAUGGGGAGAAGACAUUGUGUCUUCGAGUCGUUGAUUUCACACUGCCGAGAAAAGCCUCUAGAUAGAAAAUAGGUGCCCGUACCGCAAACCGACACAGGUAGUCAAGAUGAGAAUUCUAAGGUGAGCGAGCGAACUCUCGUUAAGGAACUCGGCAAAAUGACCCCGUAACUUCGGGAGAAGGGGUGCUCUUUAGGGUUAACGCCCAGAAGAGCCGCAGUGAAUAGGCCCAAGCGACUGUUUAUCAAAAACACAGGUCUCUGCUAAACCGUAAGGUGAUGUAUAGGGGCUGACGCCUGCCCGGUGCUGGAAGGUUAAGAGGAGUGGUUAGCUUCUGCGAAGCUACGAAUCGAAGCCCCAGUAAACGGCGGCCGUAACUAUAACGGUCCUAAGGUAGCGAAAUUCCUUGUCGGGUAAGUUCCGACCCGCACGAAAGGCGUAACGAUUUGGGCACUGUCUCAACGAGAGACUCGGUGAAAUCAUAGUACCUGUGAAGAUGCAGGUUACCCGCGACAGGACGGAAAGACCCCGUGGAGCUUUACUGUAGCCUGAUAUUGAAAUUCGGCACAGCUUGUACAGGAUAGGUAGGAGCCUUUGAAACGUGAGCGCUAGCUUACGUGGAGGCGCUGGUGGGAUACUACCCUAGCUGUGUUGGCUUUCUAACCCGCACCACUUAUCGUGGUGGGAGACAGUGUCAGGCGGGCAGUUUGACUGGGGCGGUCGCCUCCUAAAAGGUAACGGAGGCGCUCAAAGGUUCCCUCAGAAUGGUUGGAAAUCAUUCAUAGAGUGUAAAGGCAUAAGGGAGCUUGACUGCGAGACCUACAAGUCGAGCAGGGUCGAAAGACGGACUUAGUGAUCCGGUGGUUCCGCAUGGAAGGGCCAUCGCUCAACGGAUAAAAGCUACCCCGGGGAUAACAGGCUUAUCUCCCCCAAGAGUUCACAUCGACGGGGAGGUUUGGCACCUCGAUGUCGGCUCAUCGCAUCCUGGGGCUGUAGUCGGUCCCAAGGGUUGGGCUGUUCGCCCAUUAAAGCGGUACGCGAGCUGGGUUCAGAACGUCGUGAGACAGUUCGGUCCCUAUCCGUCGUGGGCGUAGGAAAUUUGAGAGGAGCUGUCCUUAGUACGAGAGGACCGGGAUGGACAUACCUCUGGUGUACCAGUUGUCGUGCCAACGGCAUAGCUGGGUAGCUAUGUGUGGACGGGAUAAGUGCUGAAAGCAUCUAAGCAUGAAGCCCCCCUCAAGAUGAGAUUUCCCAACUUCGGUUAUAAGAUCCCUCAAAGAUGAUGAGGUUAAUAGGUUCGAGGUGGAAGCAUGGUGACAUGUGGAGCUGACGAAUACUAA
rnacentral:rRNA from 1 species